rnacentral:rRNA from 1 species
CCUACGGGAGGCAGCAGUGAGGAAUAUUGGUCAAUGGACGCGAGCCUGAACCAGCCAAGUAGCGUGAAGGAUGACGGCCCUACGAGUUGUAAACUGCUUUUGUACAGGAGUAAAGUUAGGCACGUGUGCCUUUUUGUAUGUACUUUAUGAAUAAGGAUAGGCUAACUCCGUGCCAGCAGCCGCGGUAAUACGGAGGAUCCGAGCGUUAUCCGGAUUUAUUGGGUUGAAAGGGAGCGUAGAUGGGUUGUUAAGUCAGAUGUGAAAGCCUGAGGCUCAACAGUGGAAUUGCAAUUGAUACUGGUAGUCUUGAGUGUAGUUGAGGUAGGCGGAAUUCAUGGUGUAGCGGUGAAAUGCUUAGAUAUCAUGAAGAACUCCGAUUGCGAAGGCAGCUUACUAAACUGCAACUGACAUUGAUGCUCGAAAGCGUGGGUAUCAAACAGGAUUAGAUACCCUUGUAGUC